GACGAACGCUGGCGGCGUGCUUAACACAUGCAAGUCGAACGGUGAAGCGCCUUCCUUUUUGGUGGGUGUGGAUGAGUGGCGAACGGGUGAGUAACACGUGAGUAACCUGCCCCCUUCUUCUGGAUAACCGCAUGAAAGUGUGGCUAAUACGGGAUAUUCUGGGUCUGUCGCAUGAUGGGUCUGGGAAAGAUAUUGUUUCGGUGGGGGAUGGGCUCGCGGCCUAUCAGCUUGUUGGUGGGGUGAUGGCCUACCAAGGCGGUGACGGGUAGCCGGCCUGAGAGGGUGGACGGUCACACUGGGACUGAGACACGGCCCAGACUCCUACGGGAGGCAGCAGGGGGGAAUAUUGCACAAUGGGCGCAAGCCUGAUGCAGCGACGCCGCGGGAGGGAUGGAGGCCUUCGGGUUGUGAACCUCUUUCGCCAGUGAAGCAGGCCUGCCUCGUUUGUGGGUGGGUUGACGGUAGCUGGAGAAGAAGCGCCGGCUAACUACGUG
rnacentral:rRNA from 1 species